rnacentral:lncRNA from 1 species
CCAGAGUUGACCACGACUGGACCUAAUGAUCAGGGGUCCCUUUAGCUUUAUGGGUGAAGUGGGUCAGACUGCAGCUACGAUGUCUUUGUGGGUCUGCAUCCUGCUGUGCUUGACUGGCUACAGCAGGCUUCCUCAACCUCGGGCCCUCCAGAUGUUUUUGGCCAACAACUCCCAUGACCCCUAGCUAGCAGGACCAGUGGUGGUCAGGGAUGAUGGGAAUUGUAGUCUCAAAACAUCUGGAGGGCCGAGUUUGAGGAAGCCUGGGCUACAGGUUGAGUCUUGAGCUAUUGAGCGCUGACUGAUGACAUUGCUACCCCUCCCUGCCUUUCAGAUCCUCAAGGUCCUCUCUGGGAAGAUUGUUGUGGGCCACGCCAUCCACAACGACUUCAAAGCCCUCAAGUAUUUCCACCCCAAGUCGCUGACCAGGGACACCUCGAAGAACCCUCUGCUCAACCGCAAGGCCGGCUUCCCGGAGAACGAGCAGGCCUCCCUGAAGCGCCUCACCAAGCAGCUCCUCCACAAGGACAUCCAGGUGGGGAACAAAGGCCACUCCUCAGUGGAAGACGCCCGGGCCACCAUGGAACUGUACAAGGUGGUGGAGGACGAGUGGGAGAGGCAACUGGCCACCUCUCCUCAGGACUGACCCCCAACUCCAGUCGCCACCAAGCCUUGGAACCCGGAGCCGCCGGGGGAAGCCGACACUCCCCUCCCCGCCCCCCGAGCUGUUUGGGGGAGGAUGUUGACGGGUCGAUGGGGCGGAGGGAGAGGAGGGCCGGCAGAGUGAAGGAACUGACUGAGGGCGGGGGGGGGGAGGAGGCAAGUGUGUCCAUUACAUCGCUUCCAUCUGACGGCAGCCUUGGCGUCUUCCUCCCCUUCCUCUCUGUAACGGUGCUGAGCCUCCGGCUUGAAGCUCAGAGGGAGGGGGGCCUCCUCACCCUCCCUGGCAGGGGGGCUUUCAACAUGGUGCUAUCCACUCCCCAGGCCCCGGUGGCUGGGGGGGUCGUGUGCUGUUGGAGUUGAGCGCCAACCAGGCCAAAGUGCCCAUCCAGUUGCCUCGGCCGGUGGAUCUUUGGUGACCCCUCCCUCUGUGGUGGCACAGGGAGACUGGCUUCCUGCCCCCACUCUCUUAAAAGGGCAGGGGGGCACUCAGUUCCCUAGCUUGACUCCUGUGGGUCUCCUCUCUCCCUUGCCAGGUGAUGGGAGCCCCCCCCCAUACACUUGGUGGUCUUGAGCUCCCCUCUGCCGCUGCCUCCUCCUUGGCCCCACCCCCUCCCUCUGGGGUCAAGGAAGCCCCCCGCUUUUCAGCCAGGCAGGGUUGGCCCUGUGUGGACGGUGACCCCCUUGGGUUCUCGUUGGCGGGGGAUGGCUGUCUCUCCCUUCCUCUUCCCACUUUCUCCACAUCCUUCAUAAUCUCUCAUUAUUAUCUGUUUUCUGCUCUCCGCCAGCAGGUCCCCAGGUGAAUUAGAGCAAUGAAAAACACAAAACAGUUUGCAAUCCCAGGAACACCCCCCUGUCCCUCCCCACUUUGGCCCCCUAAACUUAGAAGACGGAAACCCCCGGAACAUUGACGCUGGAGGAGCAGGUGCCUUCUGCCCUUAUGGUCUCUUCCUGGUGGAGAUGUGGGGCCGGGAGAAGGAAUACAGUGGCACCUAUGGGUUACAGACCCUCCAGGUUACAGACUCUGCUAACCCAGAAAUAAAACCUCGGGUUAAGAACUUUGCUUCAGGAUGAGAACAGAAAUCGUGCAGCAGUGGCAGCAGGAGGCCCCAUUAGCUUCAGGUUAAGAAUGGACCUCCAGAACGAAUUAAGUUCUUAACCCGAGGUACCACUGUAUCUCUGUUCCCCUUGAGGGGAGGGGGGGCGUUGUGCACACACACACACACACCGCCUUAUGGCGCCCAGAGCCUGGGAAUGCCCCCCAGAGAGAGGGGAGGCCCCGUGGGUGUUGGCCCACAGCGCCCCCUCCCUGCGAAGCAUCCCUUUCUCAGCUCAGCAGGCGUUGGGGUCCUGGCUGGGACGCCCUCAAGUCCAGGAUGGGCAGGAUCCUGCCGGAUGAGCCUUGCCUGGACUGCAGCUCCCAUCAGCCGCAGCAUCAGAGGCUUGUUCUGGCCCCAGCCUCUGAAGGGCGCCAGGUUGGCCAAGGGCUGAUCUAGGGCGCAGGGCUCUCUGCAAAGGGCAGGAGGGGGAGAUCCACCAGGCAGCCCUCCCCUUUUGGUUUGCAGGGGCUCCUCUUUCCCCCUUCCUUCCUUCCUCAUAAUA